rnacentral:rRNA from 1 species
AGAAUCAACGCUGGCGGCGUGCCUAACACAUGCAAGUCGCACGAGAAAGGGGAGCAAUCCCUGAGUAAAGUGGCGCACGGGUGAGUAACACGUGAAUCAUCUACCUCCGAGUGGGGAAUAACCUAGAGAAAUCUGGGCUAAUACCGCAUAACACUUACGAGUCAAAGCAGCAAUGCGCUUGGAGAGGAGUUCGCGGCAGAUUAGCUAGUUGGCGGGGUAAUGGCCCACCAAGGCGAUGAUCUGUAUCCGGCCUGAGAGGGCGCACGGACACACUGGAACUGAAACACGGUCCAGACUCCUACGGGAGGCAGCAGUGGGGAAUUUUGCGCAAUGGGGGAAACCCUGACGCAGCAACGCCGCGUGGAGGAUGACGCCCCUUGGGGUGUAAACUCCUUUCGAUCGGGAAGAUAAUGACGGUACCGAUAUAAGAAGCCCCGGCUAACUUCGCGCCAGCAGCCGC